CGCAAACCUGAACAGAGUCAAGCGAGAGAGAGAGAGAGUGAGAGAAAGAUAGCCAUCGUGAUUUGGAGCUCCGCCUCGCCGCUCGAUCUAGUGUUUUGGUGGUGACUCGUCCGCGCUCUUCCUCGUGCUGCCCUGCUUCCUCCGCCUCCCUUCUGUUCCUGCCGGCGGGAUCUGCGACAUCUCUCGGCCCCGCACCGACCCGUCCCCAUUUCCGGCGCUAGCGAUUUGGUUAUAGAUUGAAGUAUGGGGAGACUCGUGAAGGAUUUUGGUAAGGGUACUUCUGCUGCUUGUGUUGAAGAUUGUGAUGAUUCAGAUGGGGGUCCUUUUGUCCCUAAUGAUUUUGCGGAGGAUGAUCCUUUUCAAGCUUCGGAGGAAGGACAAAUGGAUGAUCCUGAUUUCGACAAAGCUUUGUAUGAGUUCUACGUGUCUCAUAAAGUGAAUUGCUUAAAACGGAAGAUUAGAAAUGUUGGAGCUCGCAAUGUGGUAUUUUAUUUUGUUGUUGUUUAUAUUUCCUUUUUUGCAUGCAACUUCUCUAUGAUAGAUAUGGAUAUAAGUUUUAGAUAACUCCUUUUGUAAUCUUCAUCAUAUCUAUUCUUUUGUGGAAUGGCUAUUAAUGGACAAGAACCUAGUUCCAUAUAGUUCUAGUUGUUGUUGCUAGAUGUCUUUCUUUUGUUUAUUUUUAGUGUAAUUUAUCUUGAUUUUUUCUUUUGUUUGUGUUUCUUGUUGUGUUGUAGAAGUGCAAGAGGUCUUCUGAUUUUCCUGUAGCCAAUACAUUCACUAGAUACUCAAGUUGUUCUCCACUGUUAUUGGUGGCUUGUCUCCUAGGCAAGUCCGUGUUCUUCAGAGUUAUAGGGCAGAUUGCCUUCUCAAAUAUGUGAGGACAGAGGUACCUCUUAGGUUUGUCAAAUGAUUAGCGUCCAAAUUUGAUGUUCUUGCUUCAGAGAUUCAGAUUAGGAAGAAGUUUAUUCUGAUUUCCAAAUAUGUCAUCCAUGACAUCUUAGAUCUUCCUGUUGAUGGUGAGCCCAUUGUGUCUGAUGCUGAGGCUGGGCGUGAGUUUAUCUUGUCCCAUUUCAAUGUGACUAGCAUCCCACCGGUUUCUUUCUUCUGCAAUAAACUCAAAUCUGAAUAAUUGCAUGAUGUAGACCUUUUCAUCUGCUUCAUGUGUAUUGCCUUGUCCACUUUCUUGUGUCCAAAUUCAAGCCUUUCUCCUUGUCCCAAAUAUCUCCACAUUUUCAGAGAUUGUAGUUCUGUGAUGAACUAUGAUUUAUGUACAUUGGUACUCCCUCUGUCCCAUAAUAUAAGAACGUUUUUUACUCUACACUAGUGUAAAAAACACUCUUAUAUUAUGGGACGGAGGGAGUAUAUGAGAGUCUCCUUGGCAGUAAAGUUUAAGGAUACUACGAAGGUUGCUUCUAAGAGAUAAGUGGCAUUUGGCGGUUGUCACUACGCAUUCGCUGUCUCAUAUCCUGACCAUGUGCAUUUUGGGCUGAAUUCUCUACAUGAUACCAAGCCUAGGGUACUUGUCUGGAGAGUGUGGGUUGUAAAGAAGGCUAGGGGAGCGGAAAAUGCGAGUGGAGGCCGAGCAUCAGGCAAGCCGGAAUCCAGGCCGCCCGUCCGCGCUUGGGAUCCGAGCUGGCCCUGUAUUCACGCAUGCUGCCUCCCCGUAGAGUCUUUCCAGCGCGUGUAUUCCGGGCUGGCGAUAGGGACAGAAUCUAGCUUCUAGUACAUGUCCAACAGUUGUUCUAUGGUGGUGAUCCCAAUGCACCAAACUAGCAUGUGCUGCACAACUGACCAAGCUGACGUAAUGUCAGUCUGUCACCCUGCUCCAAGUGGCCCUGGCCCCUGGAGGACAUUGAGGCCGCGCUUGGAUUGGCGUUUCCCAGUGAUUUACAGAUGUAAAAUAUACCCUUGUAAUAGAAUACGGGCGGCCCACUUGGAUGAUCGUUU